rnacentral:tRNA from 1 species
GGGAGUAAAGCUCAGUGGUAGAGCGCGUGCUUGGCGUGCACGGGGCCCUGGGUUCAAUCCCCAGUGCCUCUG